UAUCAUCUAAUUGGGUGGCGAACACGGAAGGUGAGAAAAAUAUCUGGUCUUCUUGGUUUUCUGCUGUUGUGGUUUUCUGGAUUCCUUCCAGGGGAGGUGUUUCUGCAACAUUUGUACCUGAAGUAAUCAAAAGGUAAGAGGGACGGAAAGAGAGAAGGCUUGAGAAUAUCAGAAAACUUGAGAAAGGAGGCAUUCGGUAGCUAAAUUUCGCAAGCAAGACAAGGUGCAAAGGAGAGGCAAAAAGAAAACGGAAAAAAGGCAAAAGGUUGAUAUGUUGGAGAUUUAAAUCUGAUGUGUUUGGUGUAUUGAUAGUUAAAUAACAGAGGGUGAAGGGUGUGAAGAUGUUGUGGCAUUUUCUUUUUCUCCUUUGCAGUUAGCUUUCUACUGUUACGGGACUGAAUCAAAAGUUAAAGUUAUUUGGAUACGCCUGAGUAAUUGUAAUAAUAAGAUGCUUAACCGAUAAUUAACCAGUUGGGUUUGUUUUGUUUUGUUUUGUUCUAAUAACAUUGCGGUGAUAGAACUUUAGGUGCAAGCUGCCCAAGAAGAUGAUGAGGAUUCCUUGUCUUGUUUUAUAAAAAAACAAAAAGUUGAGAAUUUUGCCUUAUUCAGCAUAAACCUGGUAAAAGAUUGUUGGAUAUUUGAAAUCGAAUCUACCUUUCAUUUUAGUUGUG